AACAGUUAUCAUUAGGGGCACAUUUCAAAGGGAUCACACUGUCACAAUACCCUAAUCAACCUCAAUCAAAUUUAAAAUUUGAACUGGGCAUGAGCAAGCACAUGGCAAGCAAAGAUGUCUUCUAGCUAUCAUGAACAAAAUAUGAAUUUUACAAUGGAUGUAGAUCAAAAAGUUACAAAUAACUGUAUUGACAUUGAAUAGUGCAGAUGUAUUCUUCUGAUGACAUGACUCUUGGAUUAAGGAAGAUUGAUGUUUACACAUAUUUAUGGAUAACAUCUUUUGACUUUGGUCUUAUCCAUUUCAAGAUGUUGCCCACAGAUGUCACAUGUGCAAUUAAUGAAAAAAUGUACAGUGGAAGGAAGAUAUUACAAAAGAAAGAAAAAGACAAUUAAGGAUUUUUCAACAUUAAACAUUGUUUCAAUAUAUAUCUUACUUCUUCUUGCAUAAAAAGUAAUAUGGCUGCAGGAUUAACUAGAUUUUAUUUACUAGAUAACUUUUAAAAAGCAAGGAUAAAGCUGUCAUGUAGUCUGUUGUGAGUUUAGAUCUUUCAGCAGUAUUUUGGCUAUAUAAAAUACACAAU